rnacentral:rRNA from 1 species
GGGUCAGUAGGUUGGUCGUGCCACCGGUACGUACUGGUCUCACUGAUUCCUCCUUCCUGAAGAACGGUAAUGCCAUUAAUUUGGUGUUGCGGGGAAACAGGACUGUUACUUUGAAAAAAUUAGAGUGUUUAAAGCAGGCUAACGCUUGAAUACAUUAGCAUGGAAUAAUGAAAUAGGACGAUCGAUCCUAUUUUGUUGGUUUCUAGGAUUGACGUA